rnacentral:misc_RNA from 1 species
UUAAGUUCAGCGGGUAGUCCUACCUGAUUUGAGGUCUAACAUAAGAGUUAUUAGAGUGGAGGGAGCGAAAACUUAUUACGCAUUCCACUUAGACAUUUAGGACGAGCCAUCGCUGGCAGCAUCCAAAGCUCAUACAUAGAAAACUAGGUAUGAGAAGUCAUAUGACACUCAAACAGGCAUGCCUUUCGGAAUACCAAAAG